rnacentral:rRNA from 1 species
GUGCCAGCCGCCGCGGUAAUACGUAGGGUGCAAGCGUUAAUCGGAAUUACUGGGCGUAAAGCGUGCGCAGGCGGUUUUGUAAGUCUGUCGUGAAAGCCCCGGGCUCAACCUGGGAAUUGCGAUGGAGACUGCAAGGCUUGAAUCUGGCAGAGGGGGGUAGAAUUCCACGUGUAGCAGUGAAAUGCGUAGAGAUGUGGAGGAACACCGAUGGCGAAGGCAGCCCCCCGGGUCAAGAUUGACGCUCAUGCACGAAAGCGUGGGGAGCAAACAGGAUUAG